rnacentral:rRNA from 1 species
AUUGAACGCUGGCGGCAUGCUUUACACAUGCAAGUCGAACGGCAGCGCGGGGCAACCUGGCGGCGAGUGGCGAACGGGUGAGUAAUAUAUCGGAACGUACCCAGAAGUGGGGGAUAACGUAGCGAAAGUUACGCUAAUACCGCAUACGAUCUACGGAUGAAAGUAGGGGACCGCAAGGCCUUAUGCUUUUGGAGCGGCCGAUAUCUGAUUAGCUAGUUGGUGAGGUAAAGGCUCACCAAGGCGACGAUCCGUAGCUGGUCUGAGAGGACGACCAGCCACACUGGAACUGAGACACGGUCCAGACUCCUACGGGAGGCAGCAGUGGGGAAUUUUGGACAAUGGGCGCAAGCCUGAUCCAGCAAUGCCGCGUGAGUGAAGAAGGCCUUCGGGUUGUAAAGCUCUUUUGUCAGGGAAGAAACGGUAGAGGCUAAUAUCCUUUGCUAAUGACGGUACCUGAAGAAUAAGCACCGGCUAACUACGUG